rnacentral:rRNA from 1 species
AGUGAACGCUGGCGGUAGGCCUAACACAUGCAAGUCGAACGGCAGCACAGUAAGAGCUUGCUCUUACGGGUGGCGAGUGGCGGACGGGUGAGGAAUACAUCGGAAUCUACUUUUUCGUGGGGGAUAACGUAGGGAAACUUACGCUAAUACCGCAUACGACCUACGGGUGAAAGCAGGGGAUCUUCGGACCUUGCGCGAUUGAAUGAGCCGAUGUCGGAUUAGCUAGUUGGCGGGGUAAAGGCCCACCAAGGCGACGAUCCGUGGCUGGUCUGAGAGGAUGAUCAGCCACACUGGAACUGAGACACGGUCCAGACUCCUACGGGAGGCAGCAGUGGGGAAUAUUGGACAAUGGGCGCAAGCCUGAUCCAGCCAUACCGCGUGGGUGAAGAAGGCCUUCGGGUUGUAAAGCCCUUUUGUUGGGAAAGAAAAGCAGCAGGUUAAUACCCCGCUGUUCUGACGGUACCCAAAGAAUAAGCGCCGGCUAACUUCGUG